rnacentral:rRNA from 1 species
AGAGUUUGAUCCUGGCUCAGAUUGAACGCUGGCGGCAUGCCUUACACAUGCAAGUCGAACGGCAGCACGGGAGCAAUCCUGGUGGCGAGUGGCGAACGGGUGAGUAAUGUAUCGGAACGUACCUUUCAGUGGGGGAUAACGUAGCGAAAGUUACGCUAAUACCGCAUAUUCUGUGAGCAGGAAAGCAGGGGAUCGCAAGACCUUGCGCUGAUUGAGCGGCCGAUAUCAGAUUAGCUAGUUGGUGAGGUAAAGGCUCACCAAGGCGACGAUCUGUAGCGGGUCUGAGAGGAUGAUCCGCCACACUGGAACUGAGACACGGUCCAGACCCCUACGGGAGGCAGCAGUAGGGAAUUUUGGACAAUGGGGGCAACCCUGAUCCAGCCAUGCCGCGUGAGUGAAGAAGGCCUUCG